rnacentral:lncRNA from 1 species
CUCAUGACCUCAAGUAAUCUGCCCACCUCCGCCUCCCAAAGUGCUGAGAUUACAGGCGUGAGCCACCGUGCCCAACUUAAACUGCCCAAUUUUAAGGGAACAAUUGGGAAAACACUUGUUUAAAAAGGAAAUGAAGGAGUUGCCACGAUUGUGGUUAGCUGUGUGAAGACCCUAGAAAACCUAUGUAAACUCCUGGGGGCUCACAGUCUUACUGCCUGGUCAAGAACCUUAGAAAACUUAGAUGUACGUGUUAGGAGACCAGGUCUGAAAGCUCCCAGGGUUGUAUAAACUUCUAUACUAAGUUCCAUGAUACCCGAUGGGUAGUCCCACAUUUAGACAUGCUAUUGCUAUUGCUGCUUCCUUCCUUAUCAUGAAAAGAGCAGAAGAUGCAGACAAUACAUGAAGCAGGAAGACAAAGGGGAGACACUGAACUUGUCACCUACCUUUGGGUGCCCCUCAUGCUUCAUGUUUCCCAUUGAGCCUCACUUAUCAGUGACACAGGGAAUGGUCCCUUUGCUGUCCACUUUCCCCGUGGCUGCCUGGAGGUAGGAGAGGCAGAUCGUGUCACUUGCCGAGAUUAUGUUGCUGUGGAUUCGUUGGAGGGACAGGAACAGGAAAUCUUCCUGGUGGUCUCAAGCUGUUGGACUCGCCGAGGCAGUAAAAGUACCAUAUCCUGUGUUUGAAUCAAACUCCAAUUUCCUGUAUAUAGAAGGCUUGCCAGACAGGAUUCCCUUCCGAAGCCCUACCUGGUUUGGAAUUCCAUGACUUGAAAGGAUCCUUCGUGGGAGUAAUAAAAUCAAGUUUGUUGUUAAAAACUUUGCAGUCCCCAAAAAAACCAUGAAGCCCUGAGAGUAAUGAAAAGCUUCCUGACAUUGAGGUCACUGUGGAAGAACCACCUAAGCUAAAGAUUCUUUUGAGAACAAGGGCUAGCCUGUGGUUUCAUGGCCUUUCUUCCAUUUGGGGUUCUUGCCAAGUGGAAUUUAAAUGACCUCUUAUCAAGAUGGAUAAACCCAAGUUUCCCAGUGCUGGAAUACAGAAAAUGGAUGGACAAGAUGUCUUUUUGUCACUUCCAGCUGGAUCUACCAUGAAAGACGUCAGAGUCCAGGAAGAGAGACUGACUGGGCAACAUGUUAUUCAGAAUUAGAGAAGAUGAUGUGGUGAUGGAAGAAGAGGUCAGAGAGGGAGAUUUGAAGAUGUUGCAGUUCUGGCCUUCAAGAUGGAGUCAGGGGCUAUCUUCAAGAGAGAAGAUCUUGAUCUGUGGCCCAGGCUGCAGUACAGU